rnacentral:rRNA from 1 species
GUGCCAGCCGCCGCGGUAAUACGUAGGGAGCGAGCGUUAUCCGGAAUUAUUGGGCGUAAAGCGUGCGCCGGCGGUAUGUUAAGUCAAAUGUGAAAGCCCAGGGCUUAACCCUGGAGAGUCAUUUGAAACUGGCAUGCUUGAGUACGGCAGAGGUAAGUGGAAUUCAAUGUGUAGCGGUGGAAUGCGUAGAUAUAUUGAGGAACACCAGUGGCGAAGGCGGCUUACUGGACCGGAACUGACGCUGAGGCACGAAAGCGUGGGGAGCAAACAGGAUUACAUACCCUGGUAGCCCACGCCGUAAACGAUGAGAACUAAGUGUUGGGGUUACCCAGUGCUGAAGUUAACGCAUUAAGUUCUCCGCCUGGGGAGUACGGCCGCAAGGUUGAAACUCAAAGGAAUUGACGGGUCUCCGCACAAGCGGUGGAGCAUGUUGUUUAAUUCGAAGAUACGCGAAGAACCUUACCAGGUCUUGACAUCCUUCUGAUCGGUGUAGAGAUACACUUUCCCCUUCGGGGCAGAAGUGACAGGUGGUGCAUGGUUGUCGUCAGCUCGUGUCCGUGAGAUGUUGGGUUAAGUCCCGCAACGAGCGCAACCCCUAUUGAUAGUUGCUAACAUUAAGUUGAGGACUCUAUCGAGACUGCCAGUGAUAAACUGGAGGAAGGUGGGGAUGACGUCAAAUCAUCAUGCCCCUUAUGACCUGGGCUACAAACGUGCUACAAUGGACAGAACAAAGAGUUGCCAAGUCGUGAGAUGGAGCUAACCUUUUAAAACUGUUCUCAGUUCGGAUUGAAGUCUGCAACUCGACUUCAUGAAGUUGGAAUCGCUAGUAAUCGUGGGUCAGCAUACCACGGUGAAUACGUUCUCGGAGAUUGCACUCACCGCCCGUC